rnacentral:rRNA from 1 species
AGAGUUUGAUCCUGGCUCAGGAUGAACGCUAGCGGAAGGCCUAACACAUGCAAGUCGAGCGGUAUUUGGUAGCUUGCUACUAGGGAGAGCGGCGUACGGGUGCGUAACAUGUGUGCAACCUACCCUUAUCAAGGGGAUAGCCAUUCGAAAGGAUGAUUAAUACCCUAUAAUAUAUCAGGUGGCAUCAUUUGAUAUUGAAAGCUACGGUGGAUAAGGAUGGGCACGCACAAGAUUAGCUAGUUGGUAAGGUAACGGCUUACCAAGGCGAUGAUCUUUAGGGGUCCUGAGAGGGAGAUCCCCCACACUGGGACUGAGACGCGGCCCAGACUCCUACGGGAGGCAGCAGUGAGGAAUAUUGGACAAUGGGUGGGAGCCUGAUCCAGCCAUUCCGCGUGCAGGAAGAAGGUCUUAUGGAUUGUAAACUGCUUUUAUAUAGGGAUAAACCUACUCUCGAGAGGGUAGCUGAAGGUACUAUAUGAAUAAGCACCGGCUAACUCCGUGCCAGCAGCCGCGGUAAUACGGAGGGUGCAAGCGUUAUCCGGACUUAUUGGGUUUAAAGGGUCCGUAGGCGGGUUAUUAAGUCAGUGGUGAAAUCUCAUAGCUCAACUAUGAAACUGCCAUUGAUACUGAUAGUCUUGAGUAUAUUUGAAGUAGCUGGAAUAAGUAGUGUAGCGGUGAAAUGCAUAGAUAUUACUUAGAACACCAAUAGCGAAGGCAGGUUACUAAGAUAUUACUGACGCUGAGGGACGAGAGCGUAGGGAGCGAACAGGAUUAGAUACCCUGGUAGUCUACGCUGUAAACGAUGCUAACUCGUUUUUGGUAUUUAGGUAUCAGAGACUAAGCGAAAGUGAUAAGUUAGCCACCUGGGAGUACGCUCGCAAGAGUGAAACUCCAAGGAAUUGACGGGGCCCGCACUAGCGGUGGAUUAUGUGGUUAAUUCGAUGAUACGCGAGGUACCUUACCAAGACUAAAUGUGAAUUGACAGC